AGAAGCCACAAAUGAAGAGGAACAAAAUGUAAAAAGGGGAAAGGGUGCUUCCAGUCAUGGGAGCAUGGCUACCUUUGAAAGGACCAGGCCAUGGCUGCCUGAGAAGUGACCUGGCUAUGGCUGCCAGAGAAAGGACAAGAUCAUCACUACCUGAGAAAGGACAAGGUCAGAGAUCCAUUUGGCUGUAGCUUACAGUGAAUGGAGCAAAGAUCCCUGGAUGACCCACUGACCUGAUCACCAGUGACCUUGAAUCUACUCACAUUCUUACCUUGUUCUACUUUCUCAUCAAAGAGCCGAAAUGGCUAAAAAGCUCAUGAAUUUAUGUGAGAAUCAUUCAUCAGAAGAGAUUCAAAUCUUGUCACUGUUUCUUCCUGGUCACCUACCUGUACCUCAUCCCCAGCACCCACCAGACCAGGUGAGCCACCCAAGCUGGAAGCCUGGGAGCACCUUCUGUCUUUGCAUUGCUAAAUUUCCUCAGGUUUCCUUAGACCUGAAGGUGAGCUGGAUCCUGUUGCUCUGGGACCUUGAUUGUUCUCCUUCCUAGAAUAUGCACACAGCUGCUCCUUCUCCCUGUGAGUGCUCCGACUACAGACUGUAGUCCUCCCUAGAAUAUACCCACAGCUGCUCCUUCUCC
rnacentral:lncRNA from 1 species